rnacentral:rRNA from 1 species
UACGUAGGGUGCAAGCGUUUGUCCGGAAUUAUUGGGCGUAAAGAGCUCGUAGGCGGUCUGUCGCGUCUGCUGUGAAAACCUAGGGCUUAACUCUGGGCGUGCAGUGGGUACGGGCAGGCUAGAGUGCGGUAGGGGAGACUGGAAUUCCUGGUGUAGCGGUGAAAUGCGCAGAUAUCAGGAGGAACACCGGUGGCGAAGGCGGGUCUCGCUGGGCCGUAACUGACGCGUGAGGAAGCGGAAAGCAUGGGGAGCGAAC